CUUUUAUAUAAUUUGACUUCUUGUGUUUGAUUUGAAAUUCCAAUAGGUUUGAAUUGUCUGAAAUUGAUUGCUAAAUAUAUGCCCUUACAAUUUACAUGAUCUUCGAUAUGCAAAUUGAACUCUUGCCCAGAUUUCGGUCUGUCCCAAAAACAGAUCAGCCACACCAGGGGGUGAAUCGCUUAUGACGCUUCGAUGACACAAAGGGGAUGAGGGCAGGCGGGUAAAAUGAUUAAGCAUAAUCGCCUCGAGCAUUCUAUUGAAUUGACUGAGAGCAAUCGAUGUAACCACAAUAGAAAAGAAAAUGUACUUUCCAAUAACACAUAAAGUUUAAGAAUUUAUGAGGUAGAUAAAGAUAUUUAAAACAUUCUUAAGUUGUACAUUUUUAAUAAUUUUGGUGAAUUAAAUAUUUUUGUACAAUUCUUUUUAAAUUUGUAGUAAUUUGUGUACUAAUCCAACCAUAUUAUCCUUUACCAAUUUCUUUGGAGUCAACUUAAUUUAGUAUUUCAUAUUAUAUUCUUUUUUAAUAGUAUGCCCAAAUAAACCAAAGCUAUAAAAAAUUCACUCGAGCUGCCUAUUCAUUUAGUAUUCUGCUCAAGGUGCAUUCAAAUUUUUAAAAGUUCUCACGAAAAAGUGAAAAUCGGCAACGGGAUGAGCAAACGGUAUAAAAAAAGAGGAAAAAUCAGCUAAAAAAAACGCGUACAUCGGGAAAGGGUUUAAUCAUUUUUUUUUAAAUAGGACGAUUAAUGUAUAAAAAACGCAGACACAAAACAUACAUGUGGCCAAAGGACAGGGCCAGGGCGACCCUCGGCAUUGUUUGAAUUGAAAAGGAAUCAUCGUGGACGGCGGCUCAGUCUCGGGCUCAGCUUCGUCGAGUGAUUUGCAUAUGAUGACGAUGACGACGACGCCGAGGACGAGGACGAGGACGAGAUCCUGUUGGCGAAACCACCACCACACGACACCACCACACAGGCAGCCUUAUCUAUUUGCCUUUGCCCAGGGGCCAGGGAUCAAGUUCAGCGUUUUAUUCAAAUUUCCUUGAUCGAGCGCGUCGUGUGAAGAUGUUUCGCUGGAAAGGGCAAAGAUGCGUCUGUGUCUGUGACUGAAGCUGAGACUGAGACUGAGCCUGGGAACAUCCGCGAAAACGUCUCAUGUCCCUUUCAUAGACAUUUGAUUCGAUGGGGCGUUUGCUUUUAGUAUGCCAAGCCUAAUUAGUUGGCAUCAAACAGAAGUUAUAGGCAAACAAAAAUUGUAUUUAUAAUGAUGGAAAUUAUAGGAAUUUCAUAAGAUAUAAAAAAUGUUUAGAAUUUUAAGUGAUCUUCAGAAUUUUCUUAGUAUUUAUAACAGUAAAUUUAAU